CCCCAAUAAAGAUGGUGGCGGUCACACGCGCCUAUCGCUCUCGGAAGCAUUGAUUUGUUUUCUUCAACCGUGAGUCUGGGAGAUUCAAAUUGUGUGUUUUUCGACGUGCGGAAUUCACAACAUCCCUCCUGCUGGCUGAGGAUGACCAGAUCGUAAGGAAUUCUCAUUUGGCUGACGAGACACGAUCAACACUUUGUCUGUUCUGCGUGCAGGGUCUCAGCGAAGAUCUGAAGAGACUUUGUACAACUGGAGGUUUCACUGUUUAAGGAACUGUCGCCAAUUUUACUGCUUACAUCAGCCAGUGCAUCGGAGGUCUGCAGAGCCGGCAACUGAUCGAAUCGGGGGGAGCUGGUUACAUUGAAACUACAUUUAAACUCUCUCCCAACUGAGAAAGGCCUCAAAUAUUUAUCACAGUUUCAAGCAAACUACAAAACACAUAUAGAAUCGUGAAUUGAAUUAUUGAUCAUGUAUCAUCCAUGUGUUAGGAUGACAGAAUGAAAGAACACUGCUGAUGGUUCAAAUCUGAAAGACUAAAAGUGAAUGUGAGAGACACCCAGCAGGGCAGAAUCUAAUCUAUCAGCAGGGAAUCUCUCCACCCUCAGAGACUGGGGUUAGAUUCUUUCGAGCAGAAUAGACUGAGCAAGGGUCACCAGCCACAAAAGGUUAACACUUUUUUCUUCUUCACAGAUGCAGCCAGACCUGCUGAGAUUUUCUAGAAACUUCUGUUUUUGUUAUACACCGAGUGACGGGGGAGAGGGGAGGGUGGUGAGGAAGUGGGUGUGAUGUAUACAUUUAUGAGGGAAACAGACAGAGUAAACAAGAUGAAUCUUUGUGCUUGGCGGUGGGAGCAAUAUCGCGGGGACAAGGACAGACACUUUAGAUGAGAUGUGAGGAUUUUUUUUCACUCAGAUAGUGGGAAUCUGAAACUCACAGCCUGGAAAUGUGGGAGAGGUGAAAACAAUCAUCACAUUCCACUGGUCUUUAGCUGUAUAAAAUAAGCGCUGAAAGAACUGUGGAUGUUGUAUAUCAGAAACAAAACAGAUAUUGUUGACAAAGUUCAUAAUAAUAAAAUGUGUAGCUGGAUGAA